GUUAUAUGGUCAAGUGAAGAAGCGCAUACGGUGGAUGCCUUGGCAGUCAGAGGCGAUGAAAGACGUGGUAGCCUGCGAAAAGCUUCGGGGAGUCGGCAAACAGACUUUGAUCCGGAGAUGUCUGAAUGGGGGAACCCAGCCAUCAUAAGAUGGUUAUCUUACGCUGAAUACAUAGGCGUAAGAGGCGAACCAGGGGAACUGAAACAUCUAAGUACCCUGAGGAAAAGAAAUCAACCGAGAUUCCCUUAGUAGUGGCGAGCGAACGGGGACUAGCCCUUAAGUGGCUUUGAGAUUAGCGGAACGCUCUGGAAAGUGCGGCCAUAGUGGGUGAUAGCCCUGUACGCGAAAAUCUCUUAGUCAUGAAAUCGAGUAGGACGGAGCACGAGAAACUUUGUCUGAAUAUGGGGGGACCAUCCUCCAAGGCUAAAUACUACUGACUGACCGAUAGUGAACUAGUACCGUGAGGGAAAGGCGAAAAGAACCCCGGAGAGGGGAGUGAAAUAGAUCCUGAAACCGUAUGCGUACAAGCAGUGGGAGCCCACUUUGUUGGGUGACUGCGUACCUUUUGUAUAAUGGGUCAGCGACUUAUUUUCAGUGGCGAGCUUAACCGAAUAGGGGAGGCGUAGCGAAAGCGAGUCUUAAUAGGGCGUCUAGUCGCUGGGAAUAGACCCGAAACCGGGCGAUCUAUCCAUGGGCAGGUUGAAGGUUGGGUAACACUAACUGGAGGACCGAACCGACUACCGUUGAAAAGUUAGCGGAUGACCUGUGGAUCGGAGUGAAAGGCUAAUCAAGCUCGGAGAUAGCUGGUUCUCCUCGAAAGCUAUUUAGGUAGCGCCUCAUGUAUCACUGUAGGGGGUAGAGCACUGUUUCGGCUAGGGGGUCAUCCCGACUUACCAAACCGAUGCAAACUCCGAAUACCUACAAGUGCCGAGCAUGGGAGACACACGGCGGGUGCUAACGUCCGUCGUGAAAAGGGAAACAACCCAGACCGUCAGCUAAGGUCCCAAAGGNAGCUAAGGUCCCAAAGUUAUGGUUAAGUGGGAAACGAUGUGGGAAGGCUUAGACAGCUAGGAGGUUGGCUUAUAAGCAGCCACCCUUUAAAGAAAGCGUAAUAGCUCACUAGUCGAGUCGGCCUGCGCGGAAGAUGUAACGGGGCUCAAACCAUACACCGAAGCUACGGGUAUCACGUAAGUGAUGCGGUAGAGGAGCGUUCUGUAAGCCUGUGAAGGUGAGUUGAGAAGCUUGCUGGAGGUAUCAGAAGUGCGAAUGCUGACAUGAGUAACGACAAUGGGUGUGAAAAACACCCACGCCGAAAGACCAAGGUUUCCUGCGCAACGUUAAUCGACGCAGGGUUAGUCGGUCCCUAAGGCGAGGCUGAAAAGCGUAGUCGAUGGAAAACAGGUUAAUAUUCCUGUACUUCUGGUUAUUGCGAUGGAGGGACGGAGAAGGCUAGGCCAGCUUGGCGUUGGUUGUCCAAGUUUAAGGUGGUAGGCUGAGAUCUUAGGUAAAUCCGGGAUCUUAAGGCCGAGAGCUGAUGACGAGUGUUCUUUUAGAACACGAAGUGGUUGAUGCCAUGCUUCCAAGAAAAGCUUCUAAGCUUCAGGUAACCAGGAACCGUACCCCAAACCGACACAGGUGGUUGGGUAGAGAAUACCAAGGCGCUUGAGAGAACUCGGGUGAAGGAACUAGGCAAAAUGGCACCGUAACUUCGGGAGAAGGUGCGCCGGUGAGGGUGAAGGACUUGCUCCGUAAGCUCAUGCCGGUCGAAGAUACCAGGCCGCUGCGACUGUUUAUUAAAAACACAGCACUCUGCAAACACGAAAGUGGACGUAUAGGGUGUGACGCCUGCCCGGUGCCGGAAGGUUAAUUGAUGGGGUUAGCUAACGCGAAGCUCUUGAUCGAAGCCCCGGUAAACGGCGGCCGUAACUAUAACGGUCCUAAGGUAGCGAAAUUCCUUGUCGGGUAAGUUCCGACCUGCACGAAUGGCGUAACGAUGGCGGCGCUGUCUCCACCCGAGACUCAGUGAAAUUGAAAUCGCUGUGAAGAUGCAGUGUAUCCGCGGCUAGACGGAAAGACCCCGUGAACCUUUACUAUAGCUUUGCACUGGACUUUGAAUUUGCUUGUGUAGGAUAGGUGGGAGGCUUUGAAGCGUGGACGCCAGUCUGCGUGGAGCCAACCUUGAAAUACCACCCUGGCAACUUUGAGGUUCUAACUCAGGUCCGUUAUCCGGAUCGAGGACAGUGUAUGGUGGGUAGUUUGACUGGGGCGGUCUCCUCCUAAAGAGUAACGGAGGAGUACGAAGGUGCGCUCAGACCGGUCGGAAAUCGGUCGUAGAGUAUAAAGGCAAAAGCGCGCUUGACUGCGAGACAGACACGUCGAGCAGGUACGAAAGUAGGUCUUAGUGAUCCGGUGGUUCUGUAUGGAAGGGCCAUCGCUCAACGGAUAAAAGGUACUCCGGGGAUAACAGGCUGAUACCGCCCAAGAGUUCAUAUCGACGGCGGUGUUUGGCACCUCGAUGUCGGCUCAUCACAUCCUGGGGCUGAAGCCGGUCCCAAGGGUAUGGCUGUUCGCCAUUUAAAGUGGUACGCGAGCUGGGUUUAGAACGUCGUGAGACAGUUCGGUCCCUAUCUGCCGUGGACGUUUGAGAUUUGAGAGGGGCUGCUCCUAGUACGAGAGGACCGGAGUGGACGAACCUCUGGUGUUCCGGUUGUCACGCCAGUGGCAUUGCCGGGUAGCUAUGUUCGGAAUAGAUAACCGCUGAAAGCAUCUAAGCGGGAAACUAGCCUCAAGAUGAGAUCUCACUGGAACCUUGAGUUCCCUGAAGGGCCGUCGAAGACUACGACGUUGAUAGGUUGGGUGUGUAAGCGCUGUGAGGCGUUGAGCUAACCAAUACUAAUUGCCCGUGAGGCUUGACCAUAUAACACCCAAGCAAUU
rnacentral:rRNA from 1 species